AUGGGUAUGGAGACGGGGGUGGGGGUGCUCAAGCUACAGAGAAGGAAACGGGUGCUUUCUCGGAUUCACCCAAGGAGCGAGCACUUGCCACCAGGAUACUGGCCCGGGUUUUAUGUGGAGGCUGGAGGGGAAUGUAGGGCUCGCGAGCACAGGUUUGGGGGCCCAGAGUGCAUGGUCGCUUCCGCCCCCGAGCUACGACAAGCAGCUGGAGGUGGGCGGCUGCCGGAGUCCAACAUGGCCGCCGCGGCGAUCACGCAAGCGUGCUCUUGCUUGGGCGGAGCCUCCGGGCGCACCCCUUCCCGCCUUUGGAGGAGGGGCUUUGAACAGUGUGUGGCGCUGACCUGCGAACAGAUCGUUCAUCGCUGGAAGAAAGGCGAGUGGGCUGGGGCACUACCUAACCGUCUAAGGAGUUUCAACUCUAACCGGAAAGGGGUGGGUGGGGCGGCCCAAGAAGUUUUGGCCUGCCCCGCCCCCCAACGCCCUCUAUGCCUCUGCCGGGAUGUUCGGAAACCAGGGACAUUUUAUAUAAAUGGAUUCAUACAGUAGAUGGCUUUUUGGGUCUUGAUCUGUCACCCAGGCUGGAGUGCAAUGACACAAUCACCGCUCACUGCAGCCUUGAACUCCUGGGUUCAAGCAAUAUGCCUGCCUCAGCCUUUCAAGUGGCUGAGAUUACAGGUGUGCACCACCAAGUCCAGUUGUUCCUCAUUAGUUUUAAACAUUUCACUUUGCCCUCCCCAGCAUCGAGUAUCUUGUCCAAAGUAUCUACAUUGAACAGAAAUCCUUAAUAUUGAUAAAGUAAAUUCAGUAAUGUUUCUUUUUUCUUUCUUUCUUUUCUUUCUUUCUUUCUUUCUUCUUUCUUUCUUUCUUUCUUUCUUCUUUUCUUCUUUCUUUCUUCUCUCUCUCUCUUUCUUUCUUUUCUUUGAGACGGAGACUUGCUCUUUCACCCAGGCUGGAGUGCAGUGGCCAGAUCUCAGCUCGCUGCAACCUCCGCCUCCCAGGUUCAAGCAAUUCUCCUGCCACAGCCUCCCAAGUAGCUGGGAUUACAGGUGCCCACCACAACACCUGGCUAACUUUUUGUAUUUUUAUUAGAGAUGAGGUUUUACUGUGUUAGCCAGGCUGGUGUCAAGCCCCUGACCUCAGGCAAUCCGUCCACUUCGGCCUUCCAAGGUGCUGGGAUUACAGGUGUGAGCCACCGCGCCCAGCUCAGUUAUGUUUCCUUUUCUUAUGAUCUGUACUUUUGCAUUUCUGGUUAAGAUCUCUUUUAGGUGAUAAAAAUAUUAAUCCUUUUUGUUUUUUGAGAUAGAGCCUACUCUGUUGCCCAGACUGGAAUGCAGUAGCAUGAUCAUGGCUCACUGUAGCUUCAGCCUCCUGGGUUCAAGCAGUCCCCUAUCUCGACCUCCUUAGUAGAUGGGACUUACAGGCACUACAGGCACAUGCCAUCAUGCCUGGCUAAUUUUUUUUUUUUUUUUUUUGAGACGGAGUCUCGCUCUGUCACCCAGGCUGGAGUGCAGUGGUGCGAUCUUGGCUCACUGCAACCUCCGACCCCAGGGUUCUAGCAAUUCUCCUACCUCAGCCUCCUGAGUAGCUGGGAUUACAGGUGCCUGACACCAUGCCCGGCUAUUUUUUUUUUUUUUUUUUUGUACUUUUACAAAAUACAAAAAGAGAUGGAGUUUCACCAAGUUGGCCAGGCUGAUCUUGAACUCUUGACCUCAGGUGAUCCACCUGCUCAGCCUUCCAAAGUGUUGGGAUUACAGGCAAGAGCCACCAUGCUGACUUCUUUUUUUUUAAUUUUGUUAUUGUCUGUCAACUCGUACCUAACCAGCCAACUUUUAUAUCUUUUGUAGAGAUAGGGUUUUGCCAUGUCACACAGACUGGUCUCAAGAGCUCAAGUGAUCCACCUGCCUUGGCCUCCCAAAGUGUUGAGAUUACAGGCAUAAGCCACCACAUCCAGCCCAAAAUAUUAUUCUUUAUUUUUUCCUACAUUUAAGUUUUUAAUCCAUCUGGUUUCUUCUUGUACAUAGUGCUGGGUAGGAUUCAGUUUUGUUUUUUGUUUUUUGGUUUUUUUUUUUUUUUUGAGAUGGAGUUUUGCUCUUGUUGCCCAAGCUGGAGUAUAAUGGCAUGAUCUGGGCUCACUGCAACCUCCACCUCUCGGGUUCAAGCGAUUCUCCUGCCUCAGCCUCCUGAGUAGCCACCACACCUGUCUAAUUUUUUUUUUCCAGAAAAAUUUAACAGGUUUAUUUAUAGUUAUUAUAAAGUUGAACCGCUGAAACUUGUUCACUGAAGCAUUUUAACUUGCAUUAAUGCUUUAUGUCUCCACAUUUAUAUUAAAAAUUCACACACAAAUAAAAAUGGAAAAACUGCCAAUACCUGAUUUCUGUCCCCUGUUUUUCCACUCGCAAUCAUAUACUUAGGUACCUUUUGACCCCAUGGGAAAAAAACUAUCUAACGUUCAGAACUACCAAUAACAGGAAGAAGAGAAUUUUUUUUUUUUUAGAAUGAGAUGUUUCCCAUCAUAGUGGAUUCUUAAGCACGUUCCCCACGUAUGUGGCGUGCUAGCUGGAUGUCUUUUGGCAUAAUUGUUACACGUUUGGCAUGGAUAGCACAAAGGUUGGUGUCUUCAAAAAGGCCAACCAGAUAGGCCUCACUUGCCUCCUGCAAAGCACCAAUAGCUGCGCUCUGGAAGCGCAGACCUGUUUUAAAGUCCUGAGCAAUUUCUCGCACCAGACGCUGGAAGGGAAGUUUGCGAAUCAGAAGUUCAGUGGACUUCUGAUAACGUCUAAUUUCACGGAGUGCCACAGUACCAGGCCUGUAACGAUGAGGUUUCUUCACCCCUCCAGUAGAGGGCGCACUCUUGCGAGCGGCUUUUGCAGCCAGUUGCUUCCUGGGUGCUUUACCACCGGCAGAUUUGAGGGCAGUCUGCUUUGUAGGAGCCAUGGUAUAGAGACCUCCUUACUUACUUCCCUUCUCCUUCGGCUGGAGCUCGGCGAGCGAGAGGUGGUGCUGGUGUUGGAGAGCGAUGGCGGCGCGGCAGCGGCUGCCUAAUUUUUUUGUAUUUUUAGAAAAUACAAAAAAAAUUUGUAGAAACGGGGUUUCACCAUGUUAGCCAAGCUAUUCUCAAACUCCUGACCUCAGGUGAUCUGCCCACCUCAGCCUGCCAAAGUGCUGGGAUUACAGGCUUGAGCCACUGUGCCCAGCCAGAUCCCUUUUUAUGUUUCUCUGGAUAGUGGCCUAGUCUUCCAGCUAUCCAGAUAGUGGCCUAGUCUUCUGUGCUGCCACCGUUAGUCUGUAUUAAGCUCCCACAUAUGUGUCUCUAGCUUUUCUUUUCUUUUCUUUUUUGAGAUGGAGUCUCGUUCUGUUGACCAGGCUGGACUGCAAUGGUGCAAUCUUGGCUCACUGCAACCUCUACCUCCUGGGUUCAAGUGAUUCUCCUGCCUCAGCCUCCCUAGUAGCUGGGAUUACAGGCAGCUGCCACCACGCCCAACUAAUUUUUGUGUUUUUAGUAGAGACAGGGUUUCACCAUUUUGGCCAGGAUGGUCUCAAACUCCUGACCUCAGGUGAUCUGCCCACCUCAGCCUCCCAAAGUGCUGGGAUUACAAGUGUGAGGCACCACGCCUGGCCUCUAGCUUCUCUUUUCUGUCUUGUUAGUUUCUUUGUUGUUCUUGUAUGUUAAAUAAAAGACAGCAAGUCCAAAAUGAAAUUACUCAUGCUAACGCUCUACUUCACCAAACUGAAACCUAAGUUGUUUACUUAUAAGAUCUGCCCUUCUGAGAAAUAAGGAGAGAGAGGAUAGCUAAAUCCCAUUAAGCCAGCAAGCUUUCACUUACGUUCCUGUAAGAAAAGUAACCUUGAAAUGACCAAUCCACCUUUUGUUCCUUGUUCCUACUUUCCUCUGCUUUUCUGCCUAUAAAACUCACCUACUCUGUUUAGCUCAUCAGAGCUCCUUUCUGUUUUGUAGCCUGGAUGCUGCCCAGUUCAUGAAUUGGUGAUAAAAGCCAAUCAGGGCUGGGCACAGUGGCUCACACCUGUAAUCCCAACACUGAAAGGCUGAGGCAGGCAGAUCACGAGGUCAGGAGUUCAAGACCAGCCUGACCAAUAUAGUGAAACCCUGUGUCUACUAAACAUACAAAAAUUAGCCGGGUGUGGUGGCAGGUGCUUGUAGUCCCAGCUGCUCAGGAGGCUGAGAAAGGAGAAUCGCUAGAAACCAGGAGGCAGAAGUUGCAGUGACCCAGAUUGCACCACUGUACUCCAGCCUGGGCAACAGAGUGAGACUCUGUCUCCAAAAAAAAAAAAGUCAAUCAGAUCUUUGAAACUAAAGUUAUUGAAAUUUUAUUCUUUCACAUUUAUCAAUUCUUCACUAUUUGUAUUACCAUGACUUUGGAUACGUUUUAAUAUCUAGCAGGGAAAUUUUUCUCUUUUAUUUUUCCUUUCCAAGGUUAGCUCAGUAUUCUUUUAGAUACAUUUUAAAAUAAACUUAUGAAGUUUCUCUAAAAAUCCAAUUAAAAUUCUAGUUGGAAAUGCAUACAAUUUGUUGUAGCUUAUCUUGAGGAAAAUUGACAUCUUAGACAUGAUUUUACCCAAAAGGAUGAUAUUUCUCCCUCUUUAUUCAAAUCCUUUCCUAUGUCCUUUAUUAUUAGAAUUUUAAGUUUUUCUUCACAAAGGUGUUGUGUGUGUGCAUGUAUCUAUACAUAUAUAUAUGUAUAGAUAUAUAUUUGACUAAGCUAAUUUCUAGUUUUGUUAGUAUGGAUAGAGUAUUUUUUGGGGGG
ensembl:lncRNA